rnacentral:rRNA from 1 species
UGGGGAAUAUUGGGCAAUGGGGGAAACCCUGACCCAGCAACGCCGCGUGAAGGAAGAAGGCUUUCGGGUUGUAAACUUCUUUUACCAGGGACGAAGAAAGUGACGGUACCUGGAGAAAAAGCUCCGGCUAACUACGUGCCAGCAGCCGCGGUAAUACGUAGGGAGCGAGCGUUGUCCGGAUUUACUGGGUGUAAAGGGCGUGUAGGCGGAGCUGCAAGUCAGAAGUGAAAUCUCCGGGCUUAACCCGGAAACUGCUUUUGAAACUGUAGCCCUUGAGUACUGGAGAGGCAGGCGGAAUUCCUAGUGUAGCGGUGAAAUGCGUAGAUAUUAGGAGGAACACCAGUGGCGAAGGCGGCCUGCUGGACAGCAACUGACGCUGAGGCGCGAAAGCGUGGGAGCAAGCAGGAUUAGAUACCCUGGUAGU